AUUACAGGCAUGAGCCACUACACCCAGCCAAAUUCUCCAUUCUUUUACAUUUAGGUUAUUUCUGAUUUUUUUUGCUAGUAUAAAUAAUGCUGACAAACAUCGUUUUGAUAAAUCUGUGUAUGCAUCCCUGGGUUUUUUUUAGAAUUAAUUUUUAGAACUAGAAUAACUAGGUCAAAGACAAGUACAUGUGUAUUUUUAAUGCUUUUGGUAGGUUUUUCUAGGCCUUAUAAUAACACUUAUCAGAAUAAAAUAAUUGUGUAUUUACCUGUUUUUAUCUCACUUGUCUAUAAGUUCUUUCAGAACAAGGACUUGCUCGUGUUUGUAUUUAUAGCAUUUGGGAUAGUGCCUAGCAUAUUACAAAUGUCAAUAAAUGUUGAAUAAAUGAAUGGAAAGAAAUAUUGGUAAGGUGGUUCACGGCAAUUGAAGUUUAGCCAUAAGCUAAUAUAGAUCCUAUGUAAAGCAGUAUUUUCCAAGAUAUGUUCCGUGUCAUUCAUUCAUUCAGCAAAUAUUAAUCAGCCUCAGAUAUUGUCUUGUACCUCAACAAUGAUUGCUGAUCCUUACAGUGCUUGCAAAUCUAGUGAGAAAAGCUAAAUGCAUUAAAUAAUAAGAAGAAACGAUUAUAGUUUACGAUAAACAUGUAGGAAAUAAACAGGAUACUGCCAUAGAACUGCGCAAACUUUAGCCUGUAUCAGAAUCACCUGAAGGGCUCGCUAAUACACAUGGAUUUGCCACACCCCAGAGUUUCUGAUUCAGCAGGUCUAGGGUGGGGCCUGAGAACUUGCAUUCCUAACAAGUUCCCAGAUGUUCCUGAUGCUGUUGGUUUCAGGACCACAUUUUGAAAACUACUGUGAUAGGGAGUAACAUCGAGAAGGGCAAGGGAGAAGGCUGUGCUUUAGGUGGUUACAAAAGCUUUGCCUGGCCUGUAAUCCCAGCACUUUGGGAGGCUGUGGCAGGCAGAUUGCUUGAGGCCAGGAGUUCAAGACCAGCCUGGCCAACAUGGCAAAACCCUGCCUCUACUAAAAAUACAAAAAUUAGCCAGGCAUGGUGGCACAUACCUGCUUUCCCACCUACUUGGGAGGCUGAGGCAGGAGAAUCACUUGAACCUGAGAAGCAGAGGUUAAAGUGAGCAAUUCAGCCUCAGCCUCAGUGAGAGGCAGAGUGAGAGACUGUCUCAAAAAAAAAAAAAAGUAACAACAAAUCUUUGCCUGACGAUAAGAUAGUUAAGCUGACACCUGAAGGAUUAAGAGCUGUAAAAAGUCUCAGAAACACUAGGCAGAUGCGACAGCAAAUCUCCAGGAACAGGAAAGAGCUGGGAGGAGGCCAGUGAGACUUGCAGUUAAUGAGGAAGAAAAUAAUAGUCAAAGUUGGAGAUGUGGGCCCAAUGUCAGAUGGUGUGGGCCCAGCGUCAGAUGGUAUGGGACCUUAUAGAUCAUGGGAAGAAGUUUGGAUUUUACCUUAAUGCAGUGGAAAGCCAGUUUAUAUUCUAAAGAGAUCACUCUGUGUUAAGAGGAAAAAGGAUGCAAAAUAAGCAGGAGGUGAAUGGAGAGACCAGAUUUGGAGGCCAUGACAGUGGACAGUGAGAGAUGAGGUUGGUCUGAGCUGGGGAGUGACAGUGGAGAUAGUGAGAAGAGGAGGGAAUAAAACUGUUAACCAUUUCACCCCCAGGAAUUUCUUGGGAAGCAUUGGCUACAACAAAAUUACAACCAGUUCUUAGGACUUGCAUGGUGGCUCUUUGGGACUUUGGGAGUCCAGGGCAGAUGGAUUGUUUGAGUUCAGGAGUUCAAGACCAGCCUGGGCAACAUAGCGAAACACUGUCUCUACAAAAAAUAAAAAAAUUAGCUGGGUAUGGUGGCAUGCACCUGUAGUCCCAGCUACUCGGGAGGCUGGGGUGGGAGGAUUGCUUGAGCCUGGGAGGUGGAGACUGUAGUGAGCUGUGAGUGUGCCACUGCACUCCAACCUGGGUGACGGAGUAAGACCCUGUUUCAAAAAAAAAAAAGAAAACCAAUUGUUAACUGCUAGAGUUUUCAGAUCCUUUCAAAUGACAAUGCUUAUUGUGAAUCUCUAAUAAGAUAUUUUUCCCCAGAGGACCUCAGGUAAUUGUUUUAAAAAAUAUAUGGCUCUGGAAAAAGCUAUAGAGACAGUCAAAAGAUCAGCAGUUGCCAGGGUUUGGGGAGAGGGAGGAGUGAAUAGGUUAGGCACAGAUCAUUUUUAGGGUGGUGGAACUACUGUAUAUGAUUCUAUAGUGGUAGAUACGUGUCAUGCUACAUUUGUCCAAACCCUGGAAUGUGCAAUGCGAAGAGUGAACCCUAAUGUAAACUAUGGACUUUGGGUGAUAAUGAUGUGUCAACAGAGGUUCAUCGAUUGCAACAAAUGAACCACUGUGGUGGAGGUUGUUGAUAAUGGGGAGGCUGUGCAUGUGUGGAAGCAGGGAGUGUAUGGGAAAUCUCUAUAGCUUGUACUCAAUUUUUCUGUGAACUUAAAACUGCUCUAAAAAAGUCUACUAAAUAUAUAUAUAUAGGUGUGUGUGUGUGUGUGUAUGUAUGUGUGUAUUGGAGUCAUAAUUUAAACAUCAGCCAUUUCAAAGCUUCUUGCCUUGUGUUGGCUUCAGCAGCAUGGGAACUUGUUAGAAACACUUCCUACUGAAAGAUUCACUCUAUACCACGGAAGAACCAGCUGCAGAGUCAGUGACAGUCUUAGGAAUAUGGUACCAGGAGCAUUUCUGACCAUGGACUGCUAACCCCAGGCAAAACAUCUUUUUUAAACCUAAAAAUACUGGAAUAAAUUUUUGUGGGAAGAA
rnacentral:lncRNA from 1 species